CUUUACGGGUUUCAUGUGGAUUCCACAUAUCGAGAGUACGCAUCAAUUGCAUCAUCGCCACUUCCUCCUCCAAUCACUUGCUUCCUCAUCCGAUCUUCCACCACCGUCUGCCGCUGCCGCUGCCGCCUCACUGAUAGCAGAAGGGAAACACAAGAAGAUGGAUUGUAAUGUGCCCCAUUACGUAGCUUCACUGAUGGCUAGAUUUCGCUCUUGUCUCUUCAAAUUACUAUUGAUUUGAUACAGUGGAUGCACAGGUGGAAUUGUCUGUCCACCUACAAUGCCUACAGAGGGGUUGCAAGCACUGGUUUGGUUAGCAUGUAUGGGAUGUUGCUGCAACAGGAGUUCAUCAUUUCUGGCCAUGUCAAGUAUGUCCUGUAGCUGCUGUUGAUGUAUCUGCAUGUGAGAAUUUUUGAAGCAGCUCUUAGGCCAAGGUACCUGAGCAAGCUUUUGUUCCUAAGAUGUAAAGGAUUUGAAUUCCAUGUAGGCUUUUGAGUUACUUGAUUCCUCUUCUAAGUAUCUCCAAUUACUUUUUA